rnacentral:lncRNA from 1 species
CUGCCAUGUAAGACAACAUAUUUACAUGUCCAGGAUUAGGGUGGAGAUGUUUUGAAGGUCUUUAUUCUGCCUGCCACAGAUCAUAGCAUAUCAACGAAGAAUCCUAGAUUCUAAUCUCUAACCUCCCACUCAUUUUACAGUUCCUUCUGGGACAUUUUAAAGAAAUGUACUAUCAGCCGUGGAUGGAGCACCCUGCCAUGAUGAGUUCACUGCUGCUAGGAGCUGCUUGCCCUGAGCAAGCUCCGUGAACCAUCCUCUUCAACAUCUCCUUAAAUUGUUUUUCUCAUGAAAUGUGCAGGGUGGCCAACACCAUGGAUAUGUUCAUUAAAUAUUAUUUCACUUGGCUUUAUUCAUUCUGGCACGUCACUGGUUUUAUGGCUGACGGUGAAUCCAUCUUCCCUAUGCUCUGACAGGUGAGAAGCCAUUCUCCCCUGAAUGGGGGCUCCCACUGUACAUCUGGCACCCACCGCGCAGGUGAGCCUUCCCGCUCCUAAAUGAUGACUGGUAAGAAAAACAAGAUGUCUUUCUUGGUUAUAAAUUUAACUCUUCUAUGAUUAGUCUGGGCAAUUAGGAC